rnacentral:lncRNA from 1 species
AAAUGUGAAUGCCAUGGGAAUUAAAAGGCCUAGAGAUAGUCUAAAUGAUAGGUAUCUAUAGCACCUAAGGCUAGGUCAUAUAGCGGAAGACAGGGUUAACAAAUUGGAGAAAUUUGGACUAUUGAGUCUAUUGACUUCCGAGUCAUAUCCAAUUUGUGAAUCAUGCCUUCAAGGCAAAAUGACCAAGCUUCCUUUUGUGGGACAUGGGGAAAGGGCCACAGACCUACUU